rnacentral:sRNA from 1 species
AAGAUCAGGAACCCCAGGACACGCAGGGCCACACCUGGGUCUGUGUGGGUUCCAAAGCCCCUGUGGGUUGUGUUGGGGAACAGCAGCUCCUGGGCUUUCCCCGCUAACUGCUACCGUUGCUUGUGUUACAGAGCGUUCCUUCACCUCGGGCAGAAUAACUUUGCAGAAGCCCACAGGUUCUUCACAGAGAUCUUAAGGAUGGAUCCAACAAACGCAGUGGCCAACAACAACGCUGCCGUGUGUCUGCUCUACCUGGGCAAGCUCAAGGACUCCCUGCGGCAGCUGGAGGCCAUGGUCCAGCAGGACCCCAGGCACUACCUGCACGAGAGCGUGCUCUUCAACCUGACCACUAUGUACGAGCUGGAGUCCUCGCGGAGCAUGCAGAAGAAACAGGCCCUGCUGGAGGCUGUUGCCAGCAAGGAAGGGGACAGCUUUAACACGCAGUGCCUCAAGCUGGCCUAGCUGCCUCCAACACACUACGUCAGAAGGACCCGGGUCUUUGAAACUAUGUCAUGAAGCUAAUGUAUUAAUGUGACACAGAGGAACUCAAUAAAACUCCUGCUUCA